rnacentral:rRNA from 1 species
UACGUAGGGUGCAAGCGUUUAAUCGGAAUUACUGGGCGUAAAGCGUGCGCAGGCGGUUAUGUAAGACAGGUGUGAAAUCCCCGGGCUUAACCUGGGAACUGCAUUUGUGACUGCAUAGCUAGAGUACGGUAGAGGGGGAUGGAAUUCCGCGUGUAGCAGUGAAAUGCGUAGAUAUGCGGAGGAACACCGAUGGCGAAGGCAAUCCCCUGGACCUGUACUGACGCUCAUGCACGAAAG